GCCUGGGUGGCUCAGUUGGUUGAGCAUCCAACUUCAGCUCAGGUCAUAUCUCCUGGUUCGUGGGUUCGAGCCCCGCAUCAGGCU
rfam:Felis catus breed Abyssinian Contig28469.1, whole genome shotgun sequence. [26-MAY-2016]